UACGGGGGGGGCAAGCGUUGUUCGGAAUUACUGGGCGUAAAGGGCUCGUAGGCGGCCAACUAAGUCAGACGUGAAAUCCCUCGGCUUAACCGGGGAACUGCGUCUGAUACUGGAUGGCUUGAGUUCGGGAGAGGGAUGCGGAAUUCCAGGUGUAGCGGUGAAAUGCGUAGAGAUCUGGAGGAACACCGGUGGCGAAGGCGGCAUCCUGGGCCGACACUGACACUGAGGAGCGAAAGCCAGGGGAGCAAACGGG
rnacentral:rRNA from 1 species